GAAUUUGGAGUAGGAGGGUAGGGGAGCAGGGUGGGAGGAUUGUAUAGGGGACUUUGGGAUGGCAUUUGAAAUGUAAGUGAAGUAAAUAGCUAAUAAAAAAAUGAGAAAAAAAAGCUCCAAACCCAAAAUCUCCAGGAAAUACAGGAAACAAUGAAAAGACCAAACCUAAAAAUAAUAGGAAUAGAAAAGGGUGAAGAAUCCCAGCUCAAAGGGCCAGAAAACAUCUUCAACAAAAUAAUAGAAGAAAACUUCCCUAACCUAAAGGAAGAGAUGGUCAUAAAGGUACAAGAAGCCUACAGAACACCAAAUUAAUUGGACAGGAAAAGAAAAUCCUUUCAUCACAAAAUAAUCAAAACACUAAAUGCACAGAAAGAAGAAACUUAAAAGCUUCUCCCUGAAGAAGAGAAGGCCAAGUAACAUAUAAAAGCAGACCUGUGAGAAUUGCACCAUACUUUGCAACAGAGACUUUAAAAGCUAGAAGAUCCUAGACAGAUAUCAUCCAGUCCCUAAGAGACCAUAUAGGCCAGCACAGGUUACUAUACCCAGCAAAAUAUUCCAAAACCAUACCAAAUUUAAACAAUAUCAUCUUUUUACUAAUCUAGCCCUAAAGAGGAUAUUGGAACAAAUUUUCCAAUACAAGGAGGGUAACUACACCCAAGAAAGCAUAAGAAACUAAACAUUUCUCAACAAACCCAAUAGAAGAGAAUCAUAAACACAGAAUACCAUCUCCAACAACAAAAAUAUCAGGAACUAAUAAUCAUCUGUCUUUAAUAUCUCUUGACAUCAAUGGGUUCAACUGCCUAAUAAAAAGACACUGGCUAAAGACUGGGUACAUAAGCAGGAUCCAGCCCUUUGCUUCAUACAAGUAAUACACCUCAGUGACAAACACAGAUCCUACCUCAGAAUAAAAGGUUGGAAAAAAGUUUUGCAAGCAGUCACAAGAAACAAGCUGAAAUAGUAUGUGGCUGUGGGUUGUGAGAGGAAGCCUGGUAAGGUUGAGCUAAGAUUUAAAGCCCUGGGAACCCUGAAGGGACAGUAGAAGCUUUGCGUGCUUCCGUAACCAGGUCCCUGCCAUGUAGUCACAUACCCACUUUAGAGAGGUUUGUGGCUUUCAGUCAUAUAAAGACAGCACUCCAAGCCCUCCCACAUGUAGAUGAGGUAUCCCCAUCCUCUUAGGUCAAGCCAAUAGUAAACACCUACUGUCAUACUCUGACCCACACCAAGACUGUAUAUAAGAAACCUAUUGAGAAGAAAAAAAAGGUGUAUGAGAAUUACUCUGUCAUUAUCUGAGAGCCUCUGUCAUAAGAGUUGUAACUCCACCACCAGAGAAAGGACCUGCUUUCCCAAAACACCACAAGAAGCUCCCUACCACCUCUCCCUGGCAAGUCAGCCUCCCACCAGCUCAGCCAGGUAUGACUCAGCAUAAUGCAUCUUGGAGCAACAAAAGCUACAGCAGUGGUGAAUGCAGCUGCAGUAGUGAAGACAGCAAAGAUAAUUCCUCCUUCCUGGAGCCAUCCUAAUAUCCAAUAAAAUAAUAUUUCAACCACAAAUAGUUUAAAAAAAAAAGAUGAGGAAGAAUUCAUACUCAUCAAAGGAAAAAAUCCACCAAAACAAAGUCUCAAUUCUGAACAUCUAUGCCCCAAAUUCAUGGCACCCACUUUGUAAUGGCUAGUUUUGUGUCAACUUGACACAGGCUGUAGUUCUCAGAGAGAAAGGAGUUUCAGUAGGGGAAAUGCCUCCAGGAGAUCCAGCUGUAAGGCAUUUUCUCAAUUAGUGAUCAAGGGAGGAGGUCCCCUUGUGGGUGGUGCCAUCUCUGGGCUGCUAGGCUUCCUUCUAUAAGAGAGCAGGCUGACCAAGCCAGGGGAAGCAAGCCAGUAAGCAACAUCCCUCCAUUGCCUCUGCAUCAGCUCCUGCUUUCUGACCUGCUUGAAUUCCAGUACUGACUUCCUCGAUGAUGAACAGCAGUAUGGAAGUGUAAGCUGAAUAAACCUUUUCCUCCCUAACUUGCUUCUUGGUCAUGAUGUUUGUGCAGGAAUAGAAACCCUGACUAAGACACACAUCCAUAAAAGAAAUUUUACUAAAGCUCAAAACACACAUUGAACUUCUCAUAAUUAUAGUGGGGGACUUCAACACUCCACUCUCACCAAUGGACAGGUCAUUGAAAUAGAAAGUAACAGACACGGUGAAAUGAACAGAAGUUAUGAACCAAAUGGAUUUAAAAGAUAUCUAUAGAACAUUUCACCCCAAAACAAGAGAAUAUACAUUAUUCUCAGCUCCUCAUGGAACAUUCUCCAAAACUGAUAAUAUAAUUGGUUAUAAAACAAGCAUCAACUGAUACAAGAAAAUGGGAAUACUCACAUGCAUUCUAUCAGAUAACAUCAGAAUAAGGCUAGAUGUCAAUAACAACCAAAACAACAGAAAGUCCACAUGCUCCUGAAAACUAAAAAACUUUCUGCUGAAUGAUACUUGGUCAGGGUAGAAAUAAGAAAGAAUUCCAAGAAGUUAUAGAAUUCAACUAAAGUGAAGACAUAUCAUACCAAAUAUCAUGGGGCACAAUUUAAACAGCAUUAAGUGAAAAAUUCAUAGCAUUAAAUGCCUUUGUAAAGAAUUUUCAAGAGAUCCUAUACAAGCAAGUUAAAAGAAUACCUAACAGCUCUAGAACAGAAAGCAGCAAAGUGCACCAAAGAAGAGUAGAUGUAAGGAUAUUGUCAAGCUCAGGGCUGAAAUCAACUGGUUAGAAACUAAGAGAAUGAUUCAAAAACUCAACAAACCAAGAGCUGGUUUGCUAAGAAAAUCAACAAGAUAGAUAUGAUAUACCCUUAGCCAAAUUAACUAAAGGGCACAGAGACAGUAUCCAAAUUAACAAAAUCAGAAAUGAAAAAGAGACAUAACAACAGAAUCUGAGAAAAUUCAAGAAAAUCAUCUGAAGCAACUACAAAAGCGUUUAGCUCUACAAAACUGAAAAAAUCUAUAUGGCUUUCUGUACUAAAGUCAAAUCAAGGUCAGGUAAACUAUCUAAACAGUCCUAUAACACCUAAGACAAUACAGAGAGUUAUCAAAAAACCUCCCAAACAAAAAAGUCCAAUGCCAGACCGUUUUAGUGAAGAAUUCUACCAGACCUUAAAUAAGAUCUAAUACCAUUACUCCUCAAACUAUUCCACAAAAUAGAAACAAAAGAAAAACUACCUAUUUCGUUCUAUGAAGCCACAAUUACUCUGAUACCUAAAUCACACAAAGACCCAACUAAGAAAGAGAACUUCAGACCAAUCUUGCCUAUGAAUAUUGGUGCAAAAAUACUCAACAAAAUUCUUGCAAACUGAAUCUAAGAACACAUCAAAACCUUUAUUUACCAUGAUUAAGUAGGCUUCAGCCUAAGGAUACAGGGAUUGUUUAAUAUAUACAAAUACUUCAACAUAAUAUACUAUAUAAACAAACCCAAGGAAAGAAACCACAUGAUCAUCUCAUUAGAUGCUGAAACAGCCUUCAAUAAAAUGUAACACCAAUUCAUGUUAAAAGUCUUGGAAAGAUCAGGAGUUCAGAGCACAUAUAUAAACAUAAUAAAAGCGAUAUAGUGCAAAUAAACAGCAAACAUGAAAUUAAAUGAAGAGAAAUUAGAGCAAUCCCACUAAAUCCAGGGACAAGACAAGGUUGCCACCUCUUUCCUUAUCUAUUCAAUACAGUACUCGAACAUCUAGCUAGAGCAAGUAGAUAAUAAAAGAAAAUCAAGGGGAUGCAAAUUGGAAAGGACUAAGGCAAAGUAUCACUAUUUUCAGAUGAUAUGACAGUAUAUAUAAGCAACCCCAAAAAUUCCAUGAGAGAAGUACUAUAGAUGAAAAACAACUUCAGGGAGCUGGAGAGAUGUCUCAGUGGUUAAGAGCACCAACUGCUCUUCUACAGGUCCUGAGUUAAAUUCACAAAAACCACAUGGUGUCUUAAAACCUUCUGUAAUGAGAUCUGAUUCCCUCUUCUGGUGUUUCUGAAGAAAGAAAUGGUAUACUCAUAUACGUAAUAUAAAUAAUAAAUCUUUACAAAAAUACAACUUAAACAAAGUGGUAAAAAAUGGCCCUGGUCUAACAGGAUGUGUACAUGUAGAAAGAAAAUUGAUCCAUAUUUAUAACUCUGCACAAAACUCAAAUUCAAAUGGAUCAAGGACCUAAACAUAAAACAGGGUGCACUAAAUCUGAUAGAAAUGAAAGUGGGAAAGGUCUUUGAAUGCAUUUUUGCAGGAGACAAUAUCCUGAACAGCAUACCAAUGGCUCAGGAUCUAAGAUCAAAUAUUGAUAAAUGGGACCUCAUGAAACUGAAAAGCUUUUGUAAGGCAAAGAACAGUGUCAAAUGGCAAAUCGGCAGCCUAUAGAUGGGAAAAGGGCCUACACCAACCCUACAUCUGAGAGAGGAAUAAUAUCCACAUUC
rnacentral:lncRNA from 1 species